rnacentral:rRNA from 1 species
GACGAACGCUGGCGGCGUGCUUAACACAUGCAAGUCGAACGGAAAGGCCCUGCUUUUGUGGGGUGCUCGAGUGGCGAACGGGUGAGUAACACGUGAGUAACCUGCCCUUGACUUUGGGAUAACUUCAGGAAACUGGGGCUAAUACCGGAUAGGAGCUCCUGCUGCAUGGUGGGGGUUGGAAAGUUUCGGCGGUUGGGGAUGGACUCGCGGCUUAUCAGCUUGUUGGUGGGGUAGUGGCUUACCAAGGCUUUGACGGGUAGCCGGCCUGGGAGGGUGACCGGCCACGGUGGGACUGGGAUGAGACCCAGACACCUACGGGAGGGGAGAGAGGGGAGUGGUGCACAAGGGGCGGAAGCCUAGUGCGGCAACGCCGCGUGGGGGAUGUGGGCCUUCGGUUAGGAAACUGCUUUCGCCUGAGACGAAACGUGAGUGACGGUAAUGGGUAAAUAAGCACCGGCUAACUACGUG